rnacentral:lncRNA from 1 species
UUUUAUAGCCACUACUGUUAUUACAUAAACUGGGAAAGAAAUCGAAGAUUUCUUUCCACUUCUUGUCUGUUGUAUCUACCAUAUCUUUGAUUGUGAUCUGCUGAAAUCCUUUUAUUUUAGUUUCCUUUUUUGUUUUUUCGUAUCUGCUGUGUUUCCUUUUCUUGCAGGUGACUUGCGAAGAUUUCGGUGGCUGGGCUUGCUGUCAUGGAUUCGAAUCUCGGCAGAUACCCAUAUGACCACGAAAGAGUCUCUUUUGCGGAGAUCUCAGCGUCAACGGAGGUACCAAGGUCGGAGAUGAGGCCUGAGAUCACGGUGCUGGACGGUUGUGAGAGGGACAAGCUCCUAGACAACACAUUGAUGGUGCGUCAGUGUGCAUUGAUGGCCUCGAUUUGGG